rnacentral:sRNA from 1 species
AUGUACUCUUAAUGUACACUCCGGUUCCUGCGCUCCACCGCCCCCGCCUGAAAGCCGCUCGCUACGAUUUAUGGCG